AGCAGCCGCGGUAAUUCCAGCUCCAAUAGCGUAUAUUAAAGUUGUUGCAGUUAAAAAGCUCGUAGUUGAAUUUCGGGAUCAAUAUGUUGGUCGUGCCUUGGUACGUACUGGCGUCAUUGAUUUCUACCUUCUGAAGAACCUCGAUGUCAUUAAUUUGGUGUCUUGGGGAAUCAGGACUGUUACUUUGAAAAAAUUAGAGUGUUUAAAGCAAGCUCACGCUUGAAUACAUUAGCAUGGAAUAAUGAAAUAGGACGUUUGAUUCUAUUUUGUUGGUUUCUAGGAUCGACGUAAUGAUUAAUAGGGAUAGUUGGGGGCAUUAGUAUUCAAUUGUCAGAGGUGAAAUUCUUGGAUUUAUUGAAGACUAACUACUGCGAAAGCAUUUGCCAAGGAUGUUUUCAUUAAUCAAGAACGAAAGUUAGGGGAUCGAAGACGAUCAGAUACCGUCGUAGUCUUAACCAUAAACUAUGCCGACUAGGGAUCGGAUGAUGUUAAUUUUUUAAUGACUCAUUCGGCGCCUUACG
rnacentral:rRNA from 1 species